rnacentral:lncRNA from 1 species
AUAGGCAAAAUCACGAGAACAUUGGAUCAUGCCAUUGACAUACAUGUCCUUUAACUUUACCAGGAACCUUAAGGGUGCCUUCAUGUACCUGGUGAGCUUGCUUCCUUUGCUCUUAUCUUUUUUUGUCAUGUUUCAAGAUUACUUCAAAAAAUGGCAAUUAGAGUUAGGGCCCUUAAUAUAGAUAAAGAAAAUGGACAGCUAGCUGUAUUAUUAGCAGCUUCUGUAGGGAAGCUUAAGUUACACGACAGAUAACUUCAAGCUGAGUUACUCUAUUUAAUACUUUAUUAUACAUAUUAACUUUCACAAAUUAAAUAAAUGAUUACCACUGUAUCUUGUUUUUUUUUUUUUUUUUUUUUUUUUUUUUGAAAAGCCAAAAAAGAUAUUAUUAAAUAGAAUGGUACCAAAGUACCACCAAAAUGUUGAACUCAUCUAAAGUAAUUUUGUGGAUCCAAUUAAAGCCACGUUAUUCUGAAGCAACUCACUCAUAUUUUACUCCAAUAGUGCAACUCUAAAAUACCCAUAUAUAAUCCCACAAUUUUAUCUCAUAUAUUAAUAUUUUAUUCAUUAAUAUGGUAAAGUCCAUUAUUAAUUAAUAAUAUGCAAGUAUCAUUUUUUAUUCAUCUGUGUCAGAAAACAACGCUUGGCCAAAGUUGCUUCCUGAAGAGACGGUAGCGACAUGCUGUCGAAAUGUUGAGCAGCUCCAAUGGUAAUUUGUGGAAAAAGGGGUUGACACUCUGGCGGACGGUACUAGGAAAUUUGCCGCUGGAGCUACUGGUCUCAAGCAACCAAACUCCAAUUACAACAAGAAGUAUGACAAUGACCCAUAAUUCCAAAAGCCUACUACUGUAUCUUGUUAAUUAUAUGAAAAACGAAUGGUGGGGUGGGUUCUACAUAUAAAUCGUAAUGGUCCAUCGUGGAUCAAUAUUUAAAUGGUUUAAAUGUGUGUUUAGUCCUUACUAUUUCAUCCAAUUUUGGUAUCGGUCAGUGUGCUUUUUUUGUAUAGUUAAAAAAAGAAAAACAAAUUUAACGGUGUGCCACGUGGGACAAUCAUGACACGCCACGUGGCACACUAAAAGACAACAAAUAUUUAACUUUUUAAUUAUUAUUUUAUUCAUUAUUUUUUUACUUAAUUAGUCCCUGCACUUUCAACAUUUUUUAUAAUAAUC